GAUGAACGCUAGCGAUAGGCUUAACACUUGCAAGUCGAGGGGCAGCACAAGGUAGCUUGCUAUCUGGGUGGCGACCGGCGCACGGGUGCGUAACGCGUAUGCAACUUGCCCUAUACAGGAGGAUAACCCGUCGUAAGACGGACUAAUACUGCGUAUGCUCACAACUUGGCAUCAAGUGGUGAGGAAAGAAAUUCGGUAUAGGAUAGGCAUGCGUCCCAUUAGCUUGUUGGUGAGGUAACGGCUCACCAAGGCAACGAUGGGUAGGGGAACUGAGAGGUUUAUCCCCCACACGGGUACUGAGACACGGACCAGACUCCUACGGGAGGCAGCAGUGAGGAAUAUUGGUCAAUGGGCGCGAGCCUGAACCAGCCAAGUCGCGUGAAGGAUGACUGUCUUAUGGAUUGUAAACUUCUUUUAUACGGGAAUAACAAGAGUCACGGGUGACUCCCUGCAUGUACCGUAUGAAUAAGCAUCGGCUAACUCCGUG
rnacentral:rRNA from 1 species